rnacentral:rRNA from 1 species
UACGUAGGGCGCAAGCGUUGUCCGGAAUUAUUGGGCGUAAAGAGCUCGUAGGCGGCCUGUUACGUCUGCUGUGAAAGCCCGGGGCUUAACCCCGGGUCGCAGUGGAUACGGGCAGGCUAGAGGUAGGUAGGGGAGAAUGGAAUUCCCGGUGUAGCGGUGAAAUGCGCAGAUAUCGGGAGGAACACCGGUGGCGAAGGCGGUUCUCUGGGCCUUACCUGACGCUGAGGAGCGAAAGCGUGGGGAGCGAACAGG